rnacentral:rRNA from 1 species
CACCGCGGUUAUACGAGAGACCCAAGUUGUUAGACACCGGCGUAAAGAGUGGUUAGGAAAACUCAUUCAACUAGAGCCGAACACCUUCAAAGCUGUUAUACGCACCCGAAGGUAAGAAGCCCAACUACGAAAGUGGCUUUAUGUUAACUGAACCCACGAAAGCUAGGAUA